UGGGGAAUAUUGGGCAAUGGGCGCAAGCCUGACCCAGCAACGCCGCGUGAGGGAAGAAGGUCUUCGGAUUGUAAACCUCUGUCCUUGGGGACGAAAAAAAUGACGGUACCCAAGGAGGAAGCUCCGGCUCACUACGUGCCAGCAGCCGCGGUAAUCCGUAGGGAGCGAGCGUUGUCCGGAAUUACUGGGCGUAAAGGGUGCGUAGGCGGCAUGGCAAGUCAGAUGUGAAAUCCCCGGGCUUAACUCGGGAGUUGCAUUUGAAACUGCUGUGCUUGAGUGCAGGAGAGGAAAGCGGAAUUCCUAGUGUAGCGGUGAAAUGCGUAGAUAUUAGGAGGAACACCAGUGGCGAAGGCGGCUUUCUGGACUGUAACUGACGCUGAGGCACGAAAGCGUGGGGAGCAAACA
rnacentral:rRNA from 1 species